rnacentral:rRNA from 1 species
AUUGAACGCUGGCGGCAGGCCUAACACAUGCAAGUCGAGCGGCAGCGGGAAAGUAGCUUGCUACUUUUGCCGGCGAGCGGCGGACGGGUGAGUAAUGCCUGGGAAAUUGCCCAGUCGAGGGGGAUAACAGUUGGAAACGACUGCUAAUACCGCAUACGCCCUACGGGGGAAAGCAGGGGACCUUCGGGCCUGGCGCGAUUGGAUAUGCCCAGGUGGGAUUAGCUAGUUGGUGAGGUAAUGGCUCACCAAGGCGACGAUCCCUAGCUGGUCUGAGAGGAUGAUCAGCCACACUGGAACUGAGACACGGUCCAGACUCCUACGGGAGGCAGCAGUGGGGAAUAUUGCACAAUGGGGGAAACCCUGAUGCAGCCAUGCCGCGUGUGUGAAGAAGGCCUUCGGGUUGUAAAGCACUUUCAGCGAGGAGGAAAGGUCAGUAGCUAAUAUCUGCUGGCUGUGACGUUACUCGCAGAAGAAGCACCGGCUAACUCCGUGCCAGCAGCCGCCGUAAGAC